UACGGAGGGUGCAAGCGUUGUCCGGAUUUAUUGGGUUUAAAGGGUGCGUAGGCGGGUAAUUAAGUCAGUGGUGAAAGCCGACAGCUCAACCGUCGAACCGCCAUUGAUACUGGUUAUCUUGAGUAUAGUUGAGGCAGGCGGAAUUUACGAUGUAGCGGUGAAAUGCAUAGAUAUCGUAAAGAACACCGAUAGCGAAGGCAGCUUGCUAAACUAUAACUGACGCUGAGGCACGAAAGCUGGGGUCUCGAACCGG
rnacentral:misc_RNA from 1 species